rnacentral:ncRNA from 1 species
GUUGAUAAGGAGUCGUUUGACACCUCGAUGUCGACUCAUCACAUCCUGGGGGUGAAAAGUUUCUCAAGGGUUCGGUUGUUUGCCGAUCAAAGUGGUACAUGAGUUAGCAGCACUGGUCUUAGGGACAGAGC